CCGCAACCCCAGAGUCGUCUGUGACUGCACUUAACUGUCAGGAGUCCCUUUACCUUUACCUAUUCCAUUAUUAUUAAUUAUUAUUAUUAUUAUUCCCCACCCACCUGACCUAUGUUCAAGAUUACAUUACAGCAUAUACCUCUCCACACUUUUCCAGUAUAAAAUAGUUCAGUAUAAUUCUAUUAAUCUAUUAUUAAAAUUAAUAGAAUUACCUUCUUUAGAGAGACUGUCAGGGCAUUUUGAAGAGGUGCAGAAAAAAUAUAUAAGAAAGGAAAUGAGUAAAAUCAUGCAAUGUAACCAUCUCUUUCUUUCCCCAGCAUUUUGCUUUUCAGCUCCACCUGACCCUAUUCUGAGCGCAAGCACAAAUUUUUCAGCUGAAGCCGCUUGCAGAAAAAACAUCGAUCCCAGAUAUGCAGACUACUAUUACCCCGAUAACUCAACAGGCACGCUGCGCUGUAUCUCCGACUGCACUAAGGACACCAAAAACACCAUGAACUGCAACAAUGGCUUAUGUAGCUUAUCUGAAAGAGGCCCUUACUGCAGGUGCAAUGAUGUGGAGUCCUUUUGGUACAUGGAUGAUCGCUGCCAAACACCGAUCCGAAAGAGUGAUGUCGGCUUUGGGGUUGGGCUGGCUGUCCUCGCAGUGAUCAGCAUCGUCCUGGCGAUGUUCCUCCUCAGAGCCAGACGGAGGAAGUCUCGUUCUAGGUAAGAUGCAGGCUGGAGGAGAAUAACCUAAAUUUCUGGACCUUCUUGGCAGGGAGCCAAACCUAAUGAGUUAGCGAUUUCCUGGGAUCCUUUAUAGCAAUGAGUAGGGGAUCUGUUUGGUCCCACGAGCUGGAUCAGGUUUGAACUCGCAGGGCAAAUUUGACAGGUCAGUCGCCCGAUGCCACGGUGCCAACUGCUGCAACAUGCUUUGAAACCGUGGACUUCAAAGCAUCUAUCAGUAAAAGGUAAAGGUACCGCUGCCCGUACGGGCCAGUCUUGCCAGACUCUAGGGUUGUGCGCUCAUCUCACUCUAUAGGCCGGGAGCCAGUGCUGUCCGCAGACACUUCCAGGUCACGUGGCCAGCGUGACAAGCUGCAUCUGGCAAGCCAGCGCAGCACACGGAACGCCGUUUACCUUCCCGCUGGUAAGCGGUCCCUAUUUAUCUACUUGCACCCAGGGGUGCUUUCGAACUGCUAGGUUGGCAGGCGCUGGGACCGAACAACGGGAGCUCACCCCGCCGUGGGGAUUCGAACCGCCGACCUUUCAAUCGGCAAGUCCUAGGCGCUGAGGCUUUAACCCACAGCGCCACCCACAUCCCUUAAAAAAGCAUCUCUCAAGGACUUCCGGUUUGGAUCGCCUGCAGCACGGGAGCGCGGAGAGG
rnacentral:lncRNA from 1 species